UGAGAGUUUCUCAUCAUAUCUCGUUAUACAAGUAUCUUUACUGUAUAAUGACUAUGACGUUUCAUUCCAUUUCAGGUAAAAAAGAAGAAAAGGGAUGAGGCCCUCAUCAAGGAAAAGAUGCAGCGUACAUUCUCCCUCAGGAGACAGGAGGUUCUCCAGGAGCCAAAGAUUCCAGAGUUUUUCAAUAAAUGGCCAGCACUCUUUGACGUCAUUGAGAUCAACUUGGAGUUUAUGCGGCUGACAACUGUACCACUGACCUCAACAUUUUUGAGGGAACUGGACCGCCUGACCGGCGACCUGAUCAGGGUUUUCAACACUAAAGGGGGAGCUGCAGGGGAAAUAAUCGGAGCCAUGAUGGCAAAGAUGGAGAAUGUAAGUAUUUUUUUGGUCUAACCCAGGGGUGUCAACCUCAUACGCCAUGGGCCAAAAUUAAAAAAUGUGUACAAGUCAAGGGCCGGACUGCCAUCCUUAAAUCCUUCUGCCAUCCCAUUCUCAUGAACGCUAUAUCUACAGUGCCUUAAGGGAAUUUUUUCAAAUUAACACGCACUUGGCCUCAAUGAUGAGCUGCUUAGAAUUUGGUGGUCAAAGGUGAGGGUGACACAGCUCAUUGUUCUCUGUUCCCUCCAUCUUUCAGGACAUCGAAUGCAGUGAGGCCGAGGCAGAUGUCGCAGGGACAACCAUGGCAAUCUACACCGUUCAAGCUGAGGGUGAUGAUCAUGAUGGUCCUGGUGGACUCUUUGCAGAUGUCGGUAUGGUCCUGGAAGGGGUCAAAGUUCUCAACAACCUCAAAAGUAUCAACCAUGCAUGCGUAAUGCUUUAUGGGUUGAUCUAUGCUCUUAAUUUAAGCUAUCCAAAAAACUUAAGUAUACAUUCGAAGCUUACCAGAAGAUCCUGAUGGACCUGGAAUCGUCCAAGCCUUCCCCCAAAGUACAAGCUCUAAACUCAAAUUGCUCAGGUGACUCUUUUUUUGGGGUGGGGUGGUGAUGGGAGGAGGAAGUACAGGAAGAGACCGCCCAUACAUGCUGAUAACCAUGUGUUUUAUAGUGUUCCAGUACGUUCACAACCUUGAAGAUUCACACAUCGAACACACAGAAAGCUAGAAACGGAAGGUGCUCAGUUAACUAUGUUCUACUACUAUAUGUUUAAUGUUGUUGAGCCUGUAGAGUUUGUUCUGUCCUUUCAAUAUAUCCCAUUACUGCGAUCGUUCCAGCAGAUACAGAUGUAAGGAAUGUUGUUGAGCCUGUAGUUUGUUUGUUUGUUCUAGAUCUAGAAAAAAGAGCAGGUCCUUUACUGCCAUUGUUUGAGCAGAUACUAACUUGCCUCUGUUCUAUUGAAAUUACAAAACAUGUUUCAUGUUCCAUCUAUAGCAGUAGAUGACUUGGUUGAAGAACUACACUACCUGCUAAGUACAGUGUCUGUGUGAAGAGAAGCG
rnacentral:lncRNA from 1 species